GGGCUUAGUGAGAAGAGAGAAACAGGCAACAAACAAGAUGAAUGUCAUAGAGAUCUACACAGAAUUCAAUAGGCUGCUAUGAUAGCAAGUGGCUGGCUGUUUCUUGGUCUGUGCUGAGCAGACAAACGCAGCCUCUCUGAGGAAAGGUAUUUACGGCCUGGCCACCCGUGAACCAGCAACACCAUGGAAGGGAGCAUCCACAGGAAUCUGUGCUGUGACGGGCAGAAAGGAGGCUGAUUUCCUACCUCUCGAACAGACUGGGUGAGAGCAACUGGAUUCAUUCCUGGUGACUGCCUGUGAGGGCAGUGCAGUGUGUACACAUCCCAAGAACAGAUUAUAGCUCUGACUUUAUGACGAAAUAUCUUCUGAUUGUUGAAGAAGACACCACCAACACAUUGACUAUCAGGAAAGUAUGGCACCUCUAGAUCAUUCUACCGGCACUGAUGACGUCUCCCCCAACAACAUCUCCACGGAAGAAUUCCUCAAGAUUCUUCAGAACUUCUGGCUCCUACUUCUCUAGCUUUGUUUGGGUAAUUUCUUUCAUACUGAGAAAGAUAAAUUUCAAUAAAAUCAUACUCAAUGAAACCA